GGACGUUCAUGCGCAGCCUCCCUGCCGCAUAGGUGAAAAAGGACAGCCCGGAACGACUAACCCUCCCCUCCGGACGGUCCCUGCAGCAUAGAUGGCCUGGACCAGCUCACCCUUCCUUCCCACCGAGGGGAGAGGCAAGGAUGUUCCAUUGUACUCGUGGCGACAUCCAGCUGUGGACUCGGCGCAGGGAUAAAUUAUGGAUUAUGCCCUCAGAAGGAAUACAUCAUCUUUGCCCUUUUGAUCACAUGAUCUUACAAGUCAGCCAUUGUUCCCUGCCCGUACCCUGUUGUCAUCUAAAUCGUAGAUCUACACGACUGUAAAGAAUGAACGCCGAUAUCAAGGGAUUCAACAGCUCAUCGAUGAAAUUUCAAUCACGUUCCGUCGCACCGGAUCAGCGGCGGCCUGUUUAUGAAGUAGGGUGAUCUUCGCCUUACGAGAUGAAAGGCACUUUUAUAUUCCACCGACAUAAUUGUCUUCUUAGUUUUGAGAACACUAUUACCUGAAAAGACCUCACUUCCUUCCAUGCCGUAUUGGUGGUCAAUGUGCUAUACCUCUUACCAAAUCUACGGCUGGCUUAAAUAUGAUCAGAAGAGAUAGAUUCGGAAAAUGCCAGGUUUUAUGAGAAUGAUUUGACACGUCUGUGUAAAUGUGACUGUGAGCUCCUCGCAAUCUGCUAUGGGAAUAUUACACAUACAAGGCAAACAGCUUUUCUUUAUUAAACGCAUUGUACAUCUGGUUUCACCCAGAUGUUUUACC